AAAUCCCGAAAAAGAAAUGAUGAUUUAAUAUGCCAAGUGUUAAACAACAAAAUUUUCCAAGUCACUUUUUCAUACCGUAAACAACAGUUUUAAUUAAAAACUAUUUUGAGACCCCAAACAAAUAAGGGUGUUUGCAUCAUUUGACCUGCGCUACUUACCAUAGAUCAAUUUUCUAGAAUAUCAGUGAUAGUUCAUGAUUCCAAUUCCAAAAAAAGAUAUUUACUUGAGUGAAAUGAUAUUUUCAAAAUAGGCAUAAAAAAACCUAUAAAAAUAGGAAAAACAUUUUAAAAAUGUGGUUAAAAAAGUAUUGAAAAUAAUUUGUUGCAGAGGUGUUUUAAAAAUAAUUCAAAAAAGGAAAAGUGUAAAAAUAAAUACUCGUGGCCAAAAAACACUAUCGAAUAUUUGCCGAAAUGAAAGAAAAUUAAAAAAAAACAUAUUACAUAUAAAUAUUUCAUUAAUUUUAUUCAUUAUAAUAUUUUUUUGAAUUUUUUUAAUAUCCCAGAGUUAGACCACCCAAAUGGGGGAUAUUCAGGCUCGCCAAGGUGGGGAGUCCGAGUUGGCUUGCCCAACUAAUCAAACACUGAUUUUUCUUCAAAAAAAAAAAAGAAAAAAGAAAAAAAAAAGGUGGAGAGUGUGAGAAGGAAGAUUACCGAGUCCAUAAGAUUUGGAGGUGCAGGUGUAGCAAGUUAAAACUAGUAGAAGAAGAAUGAGAGGAGUGUGGUAUGCAGCACUUAAGUGAGCCAUGGUUGCCACCUUCUUCUUGCCAAAUACACAAGGAGGGUUCGGAAAGAGUCCACAAUUUAUAACCAAGCCC
rnacentral:lncRNA from 1 species